ACGGGGACCCGCACAAGCGGUGGAUGAUGUGGAUUAAUUCGAUGCAACGCGAAAAACCUUACCUACCCUUGACAUGUCCGGAACUUGCCAGAGAUGGCUUGGUGCCCGAAAGGGAAUCGGAACACAGGUGCUGCAUGGCUGUCGUCAGCUCGUGUCGUGAGAUGUUGGGUUAAGUCCCGCAACGAGCGCAACCCUUAUCAUUAGUUGCUACGCAAGGGCACUCUAAUGAGACUGCCGGUGACAAACCGGAGGAAGGUGGGGAUGACGUCAAGUCCUCAUGGCCCUUAUGGGUAGGGCUUCACACGUCAUACAAUGGUCGGUACAGAGGGUUGCCAAGCCGCGAGGCGGAGCCAAUCCCACAAAGCCGAUCGUAGUCCGGAUUGUUCUCUGCAACUCGAGAGCAUGAAGUCGGAAUCGCUAGUAAUCGCAGGUCAGCAUACUGCGGUGAAUACGUUCCCGGGUCUU
rnacentral:rRNA from 1 species